GGUCGUGUAGUGUAGCGGUCCAUCACUCCAGAUUUUGAUGAAAUGCCACUCCUGUACAACGGCGUGAUCGUUCUGGUAACCCCGGUUCGAACCCGGGCACGACCU